UACGUAGGGGGCAAGCGUUGUCCGGAAUCAUUGGGCGUAAAGCGCGUGUAGGCGGUCCGAUCAGUCGGCUGUGAAAGUCCAGGGCUCAACCCUGGGAUGCCGGUUGAUACUGUCGGGCUAGAGUCCGGAAGAGGCGAGUGGAAUUCCCGGUGUAGCGGUGAAAUGCGUAGAGAUCAGGAGGAACACCCGUGGCGAAGGCGGCUCCCUGGUCCGGUUCUGACGCUGAGACGCGAAAGCGCGGGGAGCGAACAGG
rnacentral:rRNA from 1 species